rnacentral:sRNA from 1 species
AAAAUAAGCAUUUGCCUGCUGUCUUAACGGAAUACUUAGUAUCAGUAUUAAAGAGUAUUCGUAAAGGGUUGAAACAUCAUAGGGAGUACGAGAAGACGAGGAGCAAAAACAUGACCUUCAGGGAAAGAGGGUAAGGAGGGUAUAUUUGGCUCUACCAAACCCCCUCCCAUGCCCAUGCCCAUCCCAUCCCCAACAACUCCAUCUGCAGCAGCCCCAUCUUCCCCUUCUUCCUCUUCGCCACCAGUCUCUUUCUGUACGCCCAACACGACGUUUGCGAGGCCUUCUAUCAGAAGAUCGAGACCUUGUUCGACGACGGAACGGACAGGGAUGGAACCAACAGAUUCGGCGGAGAAGUAGAAUGUGGACGGGACCGCAUUGUAGUCGAAUGGUUCUGCGGGAUUUGGAGGAGUUUCGAACGCGGCAUUUGAAGAGAGAGGCCAUUCCGCACGUUCUAAAGACAUAUGUUAGGAGAUAUAAAGACCAAGAACACCGAGCAUGGGAAGAUGC